rnacentral:rRNA from 1 species
GAUGAACGCUGGCGGCGUGCCUAAUACAUGCAAGUCGAGCGAACGGACGAGAAGCUUGCUUUUCUGAUGUUAGCGGCGGACGGGUGAGUAACACGUGGAUAACCUACCUAUAAGACUGGGAUAACUUCGGGAAACCGGAGCUAAUACCGGAUAAUAUUUUGAACCGCAUGGUUCAAAAGUGAAAGACGGUCUUGCUGUCACUUAUAGAUGGAUCCGCGCUGCAUUAGCUAGUUGGUAAGGUAACGGCUUACCAAGGCAACGAUGCAUAGCCGACCUGAGAGGGUGAUCGGCCACACUGGAACUGAGACGCGGUCCAGACUCCUACGGGAGGCAGCAGUAGGGAAUCUUCCGCAAUGGGCGAGAGCCUGACGGAGCAACGCCGCGUGAGUGAUGAAGGUCUUCGGAUCGUAAAACUCUGUUAUUAGGGAAGAACAUAUGUGUAAGUAACUGUGCACAUCUUGACGGUACCUAAUCAGAAAGCCACGGCUAACUACGUG